UAAAGAGGGUUGUGUGGGGCGUACAGCAGGGUGGCAAGGGUACAUGUGUGGGGCAGCAAGAUGGUGGCAGCGUGAGGGGGCCAAGGGGGUGGGUGUGCAAAGCAGUAAUGCGUGUGGCCGGAUAUCAGAUCAUCUACUGCCUAGCCAACAGCAACUCCAGCAUGUUCACCACAGUGGAGAUGGGUGCCAUGGUGGGGCAAUACACGGCCACUGAGCUGGCCCCAGAGUCAGCAUACAUCUUCAGACUGAUGAUCAAGAUGAGGCAGGGCUUGGGGAGCCCCUAGAGGCCAACAUCAUCACCACUGACAAGCGUGGUGGUGCUUCAAGGCUCAGGUGACUUGGCCUCCUUGGCAGCGUCCAAUGUAUCCAGCCUCUGUCUCUUCAGUGCAGAUUCAAGUGCAGCACGUACAGGAGUGUGACCCCUGUCAUCUCCCUGAUGGAUGUGCAUCACAGCA